GACGAACGCUGGCGGCGUGCUUAACACAUGCAAGUCGAACGGUGAAGCUCCAGCUUGCUGGAGUGGAUCAGUGGCGAACGGGUGAGUAACACGUGAGCAACCUGCCCCUGACUCUGGAAUAAGCGCUGGAAACGGCGUCUAAUACUGGAUACGAGAAGGGUCCGCAUGGGCACUUUCUGGAAAGUUUUUCGGUUGGGGAUGGGCUCGCGGCCUAUCAGCUUGUUGGUGAGGUAAUGGCUCACCAAGGCGACGACGGGUAGCCGGCCUGAGAGGGCGACCGGCCACACUGGGACUGAGACACGGCCCAGACUCCUACGGGAGGCAGCGGUGGGGAAUAUUGCACAAUGGGCGAAAGCCUGAUGCAGCGACGCCGCGUGAGGGAUGACGGCCUUCGGGUUGUAAACCUCUUUCAGCAGGGAAGAAGCGAAAGUGACGGUACCUGCAGAAGAAGCACCGGCUAACUACGUG
rnacentral:rRNA from 1 species